UCCCUGGUGGUCUAGUGGUUAGGAUUCAGCAUUCUAACUGCUGUAGCCUGACUUCAAUCUCUGGCUGGGAA
rnacentral:tRNA from 1 species